rnacentral:rRNA from 1 species
AGUGAACGCUGGCGGUAGGCCUAACACAUGCAAGUCGAACGGCAGCACAGUAAGAGCUUGCUCUUACGGGUGGCGAGUGGCGGACGGGUGAGGAAUACAUCGGAAUCUACUUUUUCUUGGGGGAUAACGUAGGGAAACUUACGCUAAUACCGCAUACGACCUACGGGUGAAAGCAGGGGAUCUUCGGACCUUGCGCGAUUGAAUGAGCCGAUGUCGGAUUAGCUAGUUGGCGGGGUAAAGGCCCACCAAGGCGACGAUCCGUAGCUGGUCUGAGAGGAUGAUCAGCCACACUGGAACUGAGACACGGUCCAGACUCCUACGGGAGGCAGCAGUGGGGAAUAUUGGACAAUGGGCGCAAGCCUGAUCCAGCCAUACCGCGUGAGUGAAGAAGGCCUUCGGGUUGUAAAGCCCUUUUGUUGGGAAAGAAAAGCAGCAGGUUAAUCCCCCGCUGUUCUGACGGUACCCAAAGAAUAAGCACCGGCUAACUUCGUG